GAGUUUGAUCAUGGCUCAGAUUGAACGCUGGCGGCAUGCCUUACACAUGCAAGUCGAACGGCAGCACGGGAGCAAUCCUGGUGGCGAGUGGCGAACGGGUGAGUAAUAUAUCGGAACGUGCCCAGUCGUGGGGGAUAACGUAGCGAAAGCUACGCUAAUACCGCAUACGAUCUACGGAUGAAAGCGGGGGACUCGCAAGAGCCUCGCGCGAUUGGAGCGGCCGAUAUCAGAUUAGGUUGUUGGUGAGGUAAAAGCUCACCAAGCCUGCGAUCUGUAGCUGGUCUGAGAGGACGACCAGCCACACUGGAACUGAGACACGGUCCAGACUCCUACGGGAG
rnacentral:rRNA from 1 species